rnacentral:rRNA from 1 species
GGGGGGGGGGGGGGGGGGGCGGGGGGGGGGGGGGGCGGGCGGCAGCGGGGGGUGCUUGCGCCCGGGCGGGGGGCGGCGGACGGCUGGGUAACGCGGGGGAACGGGCCCCAAAGGGGGGAAUAACUGCCCGGAGGGGUAGCUAAUACCGCAUAUUAGCUUCGGAUCAGAGGAUUUAUCCGCUUUGGGAGCGGCUCGCGUCGGGUUAGGUAGUUGGUGAGGUCAUGGCUCACCAAGCCGACGCGCCGUAGCUGGUCUGCGAGGAUGACCAGCCAGACUGGAACUGAGACACGGUCCAGACUCCUACGGGAGGCAGCAGUGAGGAAUCUUCCACAAUGGGCGAAAGCCUGAUGGAGCAACGCCGCGUGCAGGACGAAGGCCUUCGGGUUGUAAACUGCUUUUAUAAGUGAGGAAUAUGACGGUAACUUAUGAAUAAGGAUCGGCUAACUACGUG